ACUAUUUUUUUCCUCCUCUUCGUCAGUUCCUAGACGUCACCUUUUACCACUAUCUCACCUGCGCUGGGGACCUCGUCACCUUUCCGUCAGCGUGCUAUCGCGAUCUCAGGGAUGUUAGUAAUGUGAUCUAUGAGAAUGACUGCGUCCAUCUUAUGCUUUGCCAAUGAUCUGGCCUGGCUUCUACUGCUGAUCUUGCCCUCAAGGGAGAUCACUGAUGGAUGGCUGUGAUUGGGCAUCGGCACUCAUUUUCAUUGUAGCGAUCAUCUAAGAAUUUACCUUUUCUUUUUCUGUCUCUCACCCAAAUUAGCUUGUUGGUGCUAUCUGGUUUGAUUCUCCUAUCAUAAUGGGAUAGCGAUUGGGGGACAAGAAUCGCAAUCGUCGGAUGCAUCCUAUAGCUUUUGCUCCUUUUAGCAUUGGUGCGGAUGGGACCACAAACACUAGAAAGGAAGUGAUACUAUGAAUUAUGGAACAUAGCUGCCGGAAAUUCUUUUCUUCUUCCUAUUGUGCUGUGGCUAAGGUACUUAUUCCCUGUCCAAUGCUGUGAAGAGAUGCCACCAUAGUUGUCUUGGCGAAUAAAAUGCCCAUAAUGCACAUAUAGAAAGCUAACCUGGAAUAGGUGGCACAAUAAUUUACUCACAUACGUGCUUUUGGAAAUGGUUGUGGGCCAAGUUCCUGCGUACAGAUAAGUAAAUGGUCAGCUUGGAUGACAAUCAAGAGAAUACUUGGAUGGUUGGGGUUAACUUUGUGGGCCCUGGAGUGUGCCCCAGCUGGAGGAAGAGCUUUCAUUGGAUUGCUGAUAGUCCUUGAAAUGCAUGGUGUGAAUUGAUUUGGCUCUAUUCUGCCUUCCUGAUGAGAAGGAACAUGUAUGGGAGGGAAAAUAUCUUUCAUUAUCCAGAAUGCAUCCUCUUGGAGUUUAUAGCGAUCUAACAUGAGUAUAUUAGAUAUGGCUCAGUAAAUAUUUGGGGCAGGCAUCUUUGAUCUUGAUGCGGGUCUGAUCGAGGCAACAUCAAAUGCAGUGAUUUCAAUUCCCAGAAAAACUAUGGUGUUUAAAGAUGAAUAAAUAUGGAUAGUAAAAAGAUCCAAGGAUGUGAUACGAAAUAAGGUUAUAGGAUUUCUUACCGAGGUUUAUUGUAAUUGAUCUCUCUCCUUCAAAGAUCAUUUAACCUAUUUCUUAUAGGUAGUAAAAUUUUCAGAAGAUUCUACUUAUGGAUAGAGAAUUACCUGCCUGGUAUUUCUUGCGGCGGAAAGCUACUCAUUUCAUGAACCUUAAUGUUUUGUGAAUGUGAUUAACAGAACUGACGGUAGAGAUCUUUAUGAACCAGAAUUCUACUGAGGAAGAAUUAUGGGGGAAA